rfam:Lactobacillus diolivorans DSM 14421 NODE_199, whole genome shotgun sequence.
GGUAGAGCACCUGACUGUUAAUCAGGUUGUCGACGGUUCGAGCCCGCCUGCCGGAG